rnacentral:ncRNA from 1 species
GAAAAUUCUGAGAAGAGGAAAGUAGUUUAAUUGAUUCCUUAAGCGAGUGGGGGAACGGUGUAAGCCCUAUGGAUAGAUUAUAAUGAAGAGAGCCUUGGAGAAAUCACCUGAAAUCAGUAGUUAAAAUAUAAUAAUUUAAUAUAUCUUAUAUAUGAGUUAUUAUUUUUGAAUGUUUAGUAGGGUUGGUCGCAAAAAAACUUGCGUUAAAAGUUAAGGGGUAUUUUAUUUAUAUAAAAUACAAUUAGAGUGGUACCGCGGAUAGUUCGUCUCUUUG